rnacentral:rRNA from 1 species
AUUGAACGCUAGCGGGAUGCUUUACACAUGCAAGUCGAACGGCAGCGCGGACUUCGGUCUGGCGGCGAGUGGCGAACGGGUGAGUAAUGUAUCGGAACGUGCCCAGUAGCGGGGGAUAACUACGCGAAAGCGUAGCUAAUACCGCAUACGCCCUACGGGGGAAAGCAGGGGAUCGUAAGACCUUGCACUAUUGGAGCGGCCGAUAUCGGAUUAGCUAGUUGGUGAGGGAACGGCUCACCAAGGCGACGAUCCGUAGCUGGUUUGAGAGGACGACCAGCCACACUGGGACUGAGACACGGCCCAGACUCCUACGGGAGGCAGCAGUGGGGAAUUUUGGACAAUGGGGGCAACCCUGAUCCAGCCAUCCCGCGUGUGCGAUGAAGGCCUUCGGGUUGUAAAGCACUUUUGGCAGGAAAGAAACGUCGCGGGCUAAUACCCCGUGGAACUGACGGUACCUGCAGAAUAAGCACCGGCUAACUACGUG